rnacentral:misc_RNA from 1 species
UGAUCAAUAACAUCGAACAACACAACAAACCUACUCAAACCACGCCAAUCGCCAAUUAAACAUACCACUUUUGCGAUACCUAUCGAGGUCGUAAAGAUUCAUAACGCUAAAAGGAAAGGAUCUAUCAAUUCGUCGAUCUUCCAUGUAGAAUCGAGAUGAUCGAUAAAGCAGGCGGACUCACCGGAGCAGCUAACACUUUGUUCUUGUUGACAGCUGACAUGGUAGCGUGGCAAGGACAAUCGCUCGAAUGAUACGAAAUUUUAUAUACCCGAACCUAAUUGCAAUGGCGAAGAAAAGAAGGUUUGUAAACUGAAAAGUAUAAAACGACGGCAGAAUUCUAGAAAAUCGAUCUAUAUUUAACAAGAGUAACCAAUAAAUAUGAUACGU